UACGUAGGGUCCGAGCGUUGUCCGGAGUUACUGGGCGUAAAGGGCGCGCAGGUGGCGGUGUUGGCCCGGCGUGAAAGCCCCCGGCUCAACCGGGGAGGGUCGUCGGGGACCGCACCGCUUGAGGGCGGUAGGGGCUGGUGGAAUGCCUGGUGUAGUGGUGAAAUGCGUAGAGAUCAGGCGGAACACCCGUAGCGAAGGCGGCCAGCUGGGCCGUCCCUGACACUGAGGCGCGAAGGCGCGGGGAGCGAACGGG
rnacentral:rRNA from 1 species